rfam:Oryza brachyantha chromosome 5, whole genome shotgun sequence.
UUUAUUUUUCCGUACCCAACAUUUGACCAUUCGUUUUAUUUGAAAUUUUUUUGCGAUUAAUAUUUUUAUUAUUACUAGAUGAUAAAAUAUGAAUAGCAAUUUAUACGUAACUAAUUUUUUUAAGUUUUUUUAUAAAUUUUUUAAAUAAGACGAAUGGUCAAACGUUGGAUACGGAAAAACGAAAAAUAAACUUAUU